rnacentral:rRNA from 1 species
GCCGGAGGAUGCAAGUGUUAUCCGGAAUCACUGGGCGUAAAGCGACUGUAGGUGGUCAAAUAAGUCAACUGUUAAAUCUUGAGGCUCAACCUCGAAAUCGCAGUCGAAACUAUUAGACUAGAGUAUAGUAGGGGUAAAGGGAAUUUCCAGUGGAGCGGUGAAAUGCGUAGAGAUUGGAAAGAACACCGAUGGCGAAGGCACUUUACUGGGCUAUUACUAACACUCAGAGACGACAGCUAGGGUAGCAAAUGGG